UUUCCAACAAGAGAUUUCAACCAUGUUUCGCUACCUAUGAAACUCAACUUGAUAAAAUGUGACAUUUUUCAACUGGUCUAUAGUUUUCUGAAACAGCUAUACAUUGAUGACAUUUUUUGAAAUGAUACAUGUAAACAGUUGCACCAAUCAUAUAGAAAUGACAAUGAUUUAUAACGAAGAUGUGUAAAACAUUAAAAACUUAUAAAAUUGCACAAGAUGACUGUGAAAUAAAUAUUUCUUCAUUCAUGUAACAUUCAUUCAUAUCAAUAGGUAAAACAUUAUUUACAAAUAUAGAUCUAUCAUCAGAAAUACAUUACAAGAAAUAAUCUGUGAAAUAGUCCUUUUCUUUUAAAUGUAUUAACAUAAUUACAGUUUUAAAACUUAAAAACACUGAUGUACAACUCAUUCAUAUUAAGGAAGUACAAUGGAAUUUAAAAACUUUUAUGCCUUGCUUAACAAUCAACAGCACCUCAAUGUAAUUAAAACAUCUGUGUUUAAAUCAAUUAAAAUAAACAGUUUUUAUUAUACUUUAACUUGCUUUCAAAUUAUUAUAAUUCAUUUAAAAUUUAAACAAGAAAGCACCAACUUUGAUAAUUUGUGAACUUAAACAAAAAAUAAAAAGGCAUACUUUAAUUCCAUAUAAUUAUAAUUAUAAUCCAAUAAUCACAUAGUAUGAAAUGGAUUAUUUCCCUUUAAACAGAGCAAAGAUGUAUUUAAUCCAUGGGCAUACCAUAAGAACAUUUUUUAUCAAGCUUUUUGGAGUUUAAAAAAAAUGACAGUUUUCAGCAGUUUCUUUAUAAGAUUAAAGAUGUUAAAUGUUUUGAGAUUACAUUUGAAUUAAAUGCGAUUUUGUGUGGCAAGUACCAUGUGAGAUUCUCUAACUUCUUUAUUAUGACUUGACAUAUCUACAUUGAACUGAUUUCCAAUUUUUGACUACUAAAAAAGCGAAGAAAAAAAACACAAAUUGUUACAGUAAUUGUUGUCAUUCUAUCUAUAUAAAGUCUUCUUAAAGCUUUAAGAAAACUAUUAUACUUUUCAUGUUGCCCUCUCCUUUAAUUGUAGCUGGUUUAAUACCAUUUUGUAGAGUAACAUUUUUCUCCUACCCCCUGUUUUGAAAAAAGAUUUUAUUUUCCAAAUAUCAAUUCGGUUUUGUGUAUAGACCUAGAGAGAGAUAUGCUUGACAUUAUACUCUAUCUACCCCCUGUUAACUGUAACAAAGACCUAGAGAGAGAGAUAUGCUUGACAUUAUACUCUAUCUACCCCCUGUUAACUAUAGACCUAGAGAGAGAUUGACAUUAUACUCUAUCUACCCCCUGUUAACUAUAGACCUAGAGAGAGAUUGACAUUAAACUCUAUCUACCCCCUGUUAACUGAAACAAAGAGAGCUUAAGAGCUAUACACAUUGCUAUGUACGUAUAAUUUAUCCCUUGCAAAGGGAGAUAACUCUUCAGAAAAUGUCAUUUCCCAUUGAUGUUGUCAUUAGUCCUUAAGGAUGAACUUAGGUGAGGUUUUUGGAAUUUGUGUCAAAUGUUCGGACUCCUUGGUGUUUUUCCAUAGAAUACAAUGUAAAAUAUUUUGCCCCAUAAUACCCAUUUAUUUUUUCAUAUAAGACUUAAUAGCUCAUGAAAGGUAAUUUAUCAAAAUUUUAGAAGAUUCUUGAUUUUCCUUCAUUUGUUUUGAGACCCAAAUAAUACCAAUGCAAAUAUAAGGUAAAAGUCCGAGUCAGCCUUUUCCCGCCAUAUUUUAAAUCUCAAAUAUCUCGAAAAGGAGGUCCAUGACCUAUCAAUAUUUUUAGGUUAUCUUUAUCCUUAAUUGAUGCUCUACAGGCUUAUAGUAUCAAUUUUAAUUUCUUAAUUUCUUAAUUUUUACCUAACUUCACCCAAGUACAUCCUUAAUUUCUUCUUUGACUUCGUCUUACUCCAUCAGCCCUCCUGUAUGGUUCAUUCUUCAAAUCU
rnacentral:lncRNA from 1 species